rnacentral:piRNA from 1 species
UAGGUUGACUACUUUGCUGAUGGGGAUAU